CGGUCGGCCUCCCAAAGUGCUGGGAUUAUAGGUGUGAGCCACCGUGCCCUGCCUUGAUUUCUUUUAUUGUCUUCAUAAAGCUGUGUGUCCAUCAACCCAAUCAACUUUAGAACAUUUCCAUCAUUCCAAAAGGAAACCCCGUUCCCUCCCCAGCCCUGGCACCCACACUUCCCCUCCCUGUCUCUGUGGAUCUGCCUGCCCUGGACAUUUCAUAGAAAUGGGAUUGCACACCUGUGGCCUUCUGUGUCUGGCGUCUCUCACUGAGUGUGGCGUCCUCAGGAUGCAUCUGCGCUGUGGCCUGGGUCAGAGCCUCGCUCCUUUUCACGGCUCAGUCGUGUUCCAGUGGGCAGAGGGCCAUGCCGUGUUUGCCCAUUCUUGUGUUGAUGGACAUUUGGGCUGUUUCAGACGUUUCUGAGUGUGUAGGGAAUGCUGUUCUUGCCAACUCUUCCAGUGGCCCUGGAUUUGGGCCUUUGACCCUCACAGAAGGCCAAGCAGAGGCUGGGCAGGUCCCACCAAGGCCAGAAGCAGAGGGCGUGUUCCCCAGCAGGGCCUGGUGUUUGGAGCAUGACACAUGGAAACAGCUUCCAGGCAUGACCCUGUGUCUCCCAGCUGGCCCUGCCACUUCUGGAGGUGACCCUGCCACCCUGUGACUCUGUUUCUCCGUCGGCAAAGGCGGCGGUGAUGGGGACUCUGUGGUGGCAGCUAUUGUCAGGCAGCAUGGCAGCUGCACACGGGGGCUCGCCCAUGUGAGGGAGGCUUUCCGCAGGUGGAUGGGUUGCCUGUUCUUCCCUGGGGGCGCCAGGGGAAGACCUGUCCCUGCCAGAGCACCGCGGCUGGCAGCCCCCAGCCCUUUGGUGGCAGCUAUGCCCUGGGGUGGGCAGGGUGAUGCGUAGGUCAUCUGCCCCUGUGGUGGGCCCAGCGCCCUCCUGUCUUCUCAGACCCUCCAGAGGAGGCAAAGGAGGUCUCUCAGGCAGAGCGAGAACAUGUCAUUCCUUCAGGGACAGCAGAACCACCACAGGUACUGCCCACCUGGGUCAGACAUCAGAGGGACAGAGACAGAGAGACAGAGACAGUCAGAGACAGAGAGACAAAGGGAGACAGAGAGAGACAGACGCAGGCAGACAGAGUCAGAGAUGGAGGGAGGAAGAGACGGAGAGACAGUGACAGAGACAGAAGGAGACAGAGACAGAGAGACAGAGACAGAGGGAGACAGAGAGACAGAGAUGGGGGAGACAGACAAAAACAGAGAGACAAAG
rnacentral:lncRNA from 10 species